rnacentral:ncRNA from 1 species
UCUGCAAGGGGUGCCGGCGCAAACCGGCUGAGAGUAAGCGUAUCGCCGUUUUAUCCCUGGAACCUGAACCGGACAAUGCCGGCGUAGGAAUGGAGAA